rnacentral:rRNA from 1 species
GAUAUUAAAAGUUAUUUGGAAUAACCGCAGUAAUUCUGGGGACUAAUACAUGACUUAAAGGGAGAUAUUCUUUCAAAAGGAUAUCUUACCUGUAUUUAUUAGACUUAGAAAAUUGGUACUGUAGUAAUACAGUUCUUUAAGGUUGAACCAUAAUAACUAUGUUGUAACAAACAUAAAACGAAUCGUAUUGAUCCUAGCGAUCGACGAUGAAUCGUUCAAGUUUCUGACCUAUCAAUUCAAGAAGGUAGUGUAUUGGACCACCUUGAUUGUAACGGGUACGGAGAAUUAGGGUUCGAUUCCGGAGAGGGAGCCUGAGAAACGGCUACCACUUCCAAGGAAGGCAGCAGGCGCGCAAAUUACCCCAAUCUCAAUACGAGGAGGUAGUGAAUAAAAAUAACAAUCCAGAGCUUUGUAAAAAAAAGUUUUUGGAAUUGGAAUGAGAACAAUGUAAAUACCUUAACGAGGAACAAUUGGAGGGCAAGUCUGG